ACGUCCCUGCCCUUUGUACACACCGCCCGUCGCUACUACCGAUUGAAUGGCUUAGUGAGACCCUCGGAUCGGUGAUCAGAAGCUUUAAUCGGCAUCUGUUUGCUGAGAAGUUGGUCAAACUUGGUCAUUUAGAGGAAGUAAAAGUCGUAACAAGGUUUCCGUAGGUGAACCUGCGGAAGGAUCAUUAAUGAUUUUUUAAGCAAUCCGAGCGAGAUAAAGCGAGGAUUUGCGAAAUAUUUAAAAUCCCACUCUUUUUAACUUUAUAUAAUAAUUAAAUCAUGAUACAUGAAUUAAAAAAAAGAUCACUUUCAACAACGGAUCUCUUGGCUCUCGCAUCGAUGAAGAACGCAGCGAAAUGCGAUAAGUAGUGUGAAUUGCAGAAUUCCGUGAAUCAUCAAAUCUUUGAACGCAAAUUGCACUCCUUGGUAUUCCGAGGAGUAUGCUUGCUUGAGGGUUGAAUCACCAAAAAUCGUGAAAAAUACUUUUCACGGAUCUGGGUUUUUCCAAAAUUUUGAAUUUUGGUGACCUAAAAUUUAUCUUAACAAUAUUUCGGUAUGAUAUUGGAAAUGUUCUAUCUUACAUAUUUUUGUAAGUUCAUUAAUAAUUAUUACCAAUUACCAAUUGUUACGUCGUGUUAUUCAUCUAUUAUUUUUUAAUUAGGUGAAAUAAUUCAAUAUAUUUUAAUUUCAACCUCAAGUCAAGUAAGAAUACCCGCUGAACUCAAGCAUAUCAAUAAGCGGAGGAAAAGAAACUAACAAGGAUUCCCUUAGUAACGGCGAGUGAACCGGGAAGAGCUCAAAUUUAAAAUCGUCUUAGGUUUUACCUGGGCGAGUUGUAAUUUGAAGAAAGUGUUUGGACAUUUGGGUUUGAUCUAAAUCCUUUGGGAUGAGGUAUCAUAGAGGGUGAGAAUCCCGUUCAUGACUAAACCUCGGAUGUCAUUUAAUUCACUUUCCAAGAGUCGAGUUGUUUGGGAUUGCAGCUCAAAAUGGGUGGUAAAUUUCACCUAAGGCUAAAUAUAUGCAAGAGACCGAUAGCGAACAAGUACCGUGAGGGAAAGAUGAAAAGAACUUUGAAAAGAGAGUUAAAUAGUACGUGAAAUUGUUGAAAGGGAGACGAUUAAAGUCAGUCAUGCUAGUAAGGAAUCAACAUGGUGGUUUUUCUUCCGUGUGCACUUUCUUGCCUUGCAGGUUAGCAUCAAUUUUGGUUGUCAUCAAAUAAUCGAGGAAAUGUGUCUUCUCUUCGGAGGAGUGUUUAUAGACCUUGGUAGAUGUGGCGACUGGGAUUGAGGAUUGCAGUGAAUGCCUUUUGGCUAGUCACCUGGCUUCUGACGGUCACCCCGCUUUCGAUAGCUUGCUGACGAUCGUGGGACUCGACAGUCUAGAUGUUAGAUUGAUCUUAAAUUCACUAAGGAUGCUGACGUAAUGGCUUUAAACGACCCGUCUUGAAACACGG
rnacentral:rRNA from 1 species